UGGGGAAUAUUGCACAAUGGGCGAAAGCCUGAUGCAGCAACGCCGCGUGAGCGAGGAAGGCCUUUGGGUCGUAAAGCUCUGUUGAGAGGGAAGAAAAAAAUGACGGUACCUCUUGAGGAAGCCCCGGCUAACUACGUGCCAGCAGCCGCGGUAAUACGUAGGGGGCGAGCGUUAUCCGGAAUUAUUGGGCGUAAAGAGUGCGUAGGUGGUUAUCUAAGCGUGGGGUGAAAGGCAGUGGCUUAACCAUUGUAAGCCUUGCGAACUGGAUAGCUUGAGUGCAGGAGGGGAAAGUGGAAUUCCUAGUGUAGCGGUGAAAUGCGUAGAUAUUAGGAGGAACACCGGUGGCGAAGGCGGCUUUCUGGACUGUAACUGACACUGAGGCACGAAAGCGUGGGUAGCAAACA
rnacentral:rRNA from 1 species